rnacentral:lncRNA from 1 species
GGAAGUGCGGAAAUCAACCUGACAAGGAUCCCAUGAGGAACUGCUCUCCACUCCACCAGGACAGAAGCCCUGGGGUCCUUGAAGUCAGAGGGCAGGUGGCCCUGCUCACCACUUCAGCUAAUCUAUCUUCACUGAACUGAGUGCCAACAAGGGAGAUGUCCAACAGUCUGAAUAAGAGAGGCAACCUAUCCAGGAGAUACGUUGUGCAAACACCAGAACUGCCAACACCCGGAAUAUCCAAAAGUAUCAAAGCAGCGUUGCUGGCUCCUGCUGGAUACAAGGGUAAAGAGCUAGUACAGCCAGACUGCAGUCAAAGUGUGGAGACCCAGCUCAGGGCUCUGGCUGCCUAGCAAGCAACCUCGCUGCCCACCACUCCCUCCAAGUGUCCUCGGUUUCUUAGAUCAAGAUCCAACCAACAAGCCCGGGCUGGAGCUCAUCUCAUCUUGUCCCACUCCUGACGUGUGGGCUCCCACUCUGCAUAAAGAUCACAGACAUGAGGUGUGAAUGAUGCAAAACAGUAUUUGGAUAUGGAAGCUGAGUGAUUUGCAUAAUGCAUUGCUAAUCGGUGAGUAUAAAUUCUGGAAUCGGAUGAACUGAAAUCAAGAGCCACAGAAUUCUUAAAAAUCUAGAUGAGCAGAUGGACUUGACCACUGUUGCUUAAGUCCCUCCUGGCAACCCCAGAAGCUGAAGAGAAGAAAGAAGCUCCUGGGUGCCCCUCCUCCUCUACCAUCCGACACGCACCCCAUCUUCUUAGACCCAUACACCCUCCACUGUCACCCGUAUAAUAAAUGAAAUGCAGAGACUGCCCCUUCCUUCAUUCCCUGCAAGAA